UCUUAUUUUGAAUAUAAAAAUAUUUGGUAAGAUUUUGAGUUUUUGCAGUGUUGGUUGAACUUUAUUUAGGGGAAUAAGAGAAAAGGAUAAUGAAAAAUAAUGAUUUUAAUUUGCAAAACACGCUGAAAACUAUGUUUUAAAACUAUGUGUUAUUAUUCUUUUACUUGGAAAAUAAACACAAAUUUAUGUCGGUCUGUCUUAUAAAUGACCAACAGGACAGUAAAUAACAUGUAAGGGGUGGAGAUAACAGGGCAAAGUGACGGUACAAAGUGUUAAAUAACAGCCGUAAAGCUAGAUUUGAAUUAAACAUCAAACUUCACAGAUCAACAAACAGGGAAUAACCCAGAGGAAGGAAGAACGCCCGGAGGACCGACCAAAGCAGAAAUGAGAACCAAAAUCAUUCUGAAAAUGAAAGAAAUCUGGAAAAAUAUAAUGACAAAAGAACCAAAAUCCCCCAAAUUCAAACACAAAGUAAAACUGGAAGUCAGGAAAACGAAGUGAGGAGAGGAAAAGACAUCAUGAACAGAAAACACUGGAAAAUCCUGGUUGGAUUUCCCAGUUUGUUCAUUUUGCUGCUCAUCCUGACCAGAACUACCCAACAGAACCCGGCAGAACCCGGCAGAAUGGGUACUGCUGAGUUAAAGGAAGGAUUCCAGUAGCGGUCAGUCUUGCAGCGGUUCUAAAGAAGCAUCUGACUGAAGACAGUUGCUGUAUAAAAGUCAAAUGACCAUCAGGUCAUGCUAGCAGCUCAGCAUGAGGGCAGCGGAGACGAAGUCCAGCAGCAACAUGUCCUGGAUGUCGACAGCAGCUGUUAGCUAGCUCUGCUAAUCCACAUUGUUUGCCUUUUGCUAUUGCCACACUUCUGUAAAUCCAUCUGGCUGUUUGGUUAAAAAGUCAGGCAGAGAUGUUAGAGUAGAGGAUAAGAUCCUGCAGUUCCUUUGGCUGAUGUAAUGCAGGUAAAACUGUCUGGGUGAAUUUUUGAAGUUCAUCCAUUUUGAAGUUCAUUCCAGAUUUCCUGUUUCCUGUUGUGACUGAUGGAAGAGAAGCUCUCAACUUCCUGUCUGCAUCCACUGAGCCUCAUUUUCAACUCCUCAAAGUCGUAGUUCAGCCGCUAUUCGAGUUUUUGAGAUGCUAAUCAGCAAUAUCUUGUUGCCAUGGUUACGCAUCACAGCAACUGGUUGAAAAUAGGAGCAAAAAUCCAUCAAGCCAAAGAGUUUAACCAAAAAACAUGAUGGAUAAAAAUCUGCUGCCUCCAUGAGUGGCACUAUUCCCACAGAGGGGUGCCCACUCUGAGGCCCGGGGGCCAUUUGUGGCCCUCUCACAGAUUUUGUGCGGCCUCUUUGACCUACAAGCAUCCCUGGUUGAUGCUUUUUCACAUUUUAGCGCAAAUCAUUUUACAGAUAAAUAACAUCUUCUUCAUUUGGUCUAGAAUAUCUGCUUUACAUUAUUAUUUAGAAUGUAGGUAUAACUGGAUGUUAUUAAUUAGGAAAAAUCUGAAUUAAAACAAAAUAAGUGAACAUUUUCAUCAAAAUCUAAUUUCAUAGCGUGUUCAAUGCUAUGAACAUUUGGUUAUAGCUAUCCUUUGGUUACCUGGAAACCAAAUGACAGUUCAAAACAAAACAUUCAAACAGUGAGGCUGCAUGCCUGCAGUUCAAAAACAGCAGAAAAUGAGAUUUUAACCCGAUAAAAAACACAAAGGCCAGACAGAAUAUCGGGGCUAAAAAUAUCCAUUCAGAGGCUUCAGCUGAGAGAUGAAGAUUAACAAACGGAGCGGGAAACAAGAAGCAGACGUCACUCAAACUCUGAGAAAACCCAGAAAUGACUCUCAGGCAUCCAGCUGUGUCGAGCCAGGCGUCACCUUUGACAUCUGACGUCCUCACCUCAGCUUCAGGUUCUCCAUGAACUGCUCCAUCGUCACCUCAUCCAGCAGCACGAAGUCCGACUUCCCAAACUCCAGCCCCUCCAGCUCCGCCAUCCCCGCCUGAGCUCCUCAAACACACCAGAACAAACAAACACACACAGAGAGGGGAGACUCAGGGAGAGGCCAA